rnacentral:lncRNA from 1 species
UUUUAAUAAUUUUCAUUCUCAAAAUUAAAAAAAUAAAAAAAGAAACCCACAAACCCUUACCCAUCUCUCUCAUUCCUCUCAACCAUCUCUCUUUCAUCUCUUUCAUUCCAACCUUUUCUCUGUCAUCCUUACUCUAGCUCUAAUUGAAAUUAUUUUAAUAAUUUUCAUUCUCAAAACUAAAAAAAAGAAAACCUCAAACCCUUACUCACCUCCUUCAUUCCUCUCAACCCUUUCUCCUUCAUCUCUCUCACUCAAACAUUUUCUCUGUCAUCUCUGC